rnacentral:rRNA from 1 species
GACGAACGCUGGCGGCGUGCUUAACACAUGCAAGUCGAACGGAAAGGCCCCUUUGGGGGUCCUCGAGUGGCGAACGGGUGAGUAACACGUGAGUAACCUGCCCUUGCCUUCGGGAUAACUUCAGGAAACUGGGGCUAAUACCGGAUAGGAAUCCUUGCUGCAUGGUGGGGGUUGGAAAGCUUCGGCGGUUUUGGAUGGACUCGCGGCGUAUCAGCUUGUUGGUGGGGUAGUGGCUUACCAAGGCGUUGACGGGUAGCCGGCCUGAGAGGGCGACCGGCCACAUUGGGACUGAGAUACGGCCCAGACGCCUUCGGGAGGCAGCAGUGGGGAAGAUUGAACAAUGGGCGGAAGCCUGAUGCAGCAACGCCGCGUGCGGGAUGACGGCCUUCGGGUUGUAAACCGCUUUCAGCAGGGGCGAAGCUUGUGGUGACGGUACCUGCAGAAGAAGCACCGGCUAACUACGUG